GACGAACGCUGGCGGCGUGCCUAACACAUGCAAGUCACGGGGGCCCGCAAGGGUAACCGGCGAACGGGUGCGUAACACGUGAGCAAUCUGCCGAUUUCUGGGGGAUAGCCGGUCCAAUGACCGGGUAAUACCGCAUACGCUCAUUGGGGGACAUCCCCUGGUGAGGAAACCUCCGGGGGAAAUCGAGGAGCUCGCGGCCUAUCAGCUAGUUGGCGAGGUAACGGCUCACCAAGGCGACGACGGGUAGCUGGUCUGAGAGGAUGGCCAGCCACAUUGGGACUGCGACACGGCCCAGACUCCUACGGGAGGCAGCAGUGGGGAAUAUUGCGCAAUGGACAAAAGUCUGGCGCAGCGACGCCGCGUGUAGGAUGAAGCUCUUCGGGGUGUAAACUACUGUUGCUCGGGACGAACCUCCCUUUUCGAGGGGACUGACGGUACCGAGUGAGGAAGCACCGGCUAACUCUGUGCCAGCAGCCGCGGUAAUACAGAGGGUGCGAGCGUUGUCCGGAAUCACUGGGCGUAAAGGGCGCGUAGGUGGCUUGGUAAGCGUGUGGUGAAAGCUCGGGGCUCAACCCCGAGUCGGCCAUGCGAACUGCCGAGCUUGAGCAUGGUAGAGGCAGGUGGAAUUCCGGGUGUAGCGGUGGAAUGC
rnacentral:rRNA from 1 species